GUCAGGAGAUCGAGACCAUCCUGGCUAACACGUGUCUUCAUAAGAAGAGUCUAGGACACAGGCAUGUACACAGAGACAGCAGAAACCAUGUGAGGACACAGGGAGAAGGCGGCCAUCUGCAAACCAAGGAAAACAGGCUUCAGGAGAAACACACCUUGAUCUUGGACUUCCAGCCUCCAAAACUUGAACACGGUACAACUUUCACGAGGACUGAGUUAACACCGAGAAUGCAUGUGACAUGGACAACCUGGUGCCUCACUUUUUGUCACAAACAGAACUUUCCUGAGAAGGCACUGCCACUGAUUUUGUUGACCAUCUGCACCACACCUAUCACGCUGCCUCGGCUGACGAUGGGCAUGCACAGGAUGUUC
rnacentral:lncRNA from 1 species